UACGAAGGGGGCUAGCGUUGCUCGGAAUCACUGGGCGUAAAGCGCACGUAGGCGGAUUUCUAAGUCAGGGGUGAAAUCCUGGAGCUCAACUCCAGAACUGCCUUUGAUACUGGAGAUCUUGAGUCCGGGAGAGGUGAGUGGAACUGCGAGUGUAGAGGUGAAAUUCGUAGAUAUUCGCAAGAACACCAGUGGCGAAGGCGGCUCACUGGCCCGGUACUGACGCUGAGGUGCGACAGCGUGGGGAGCAAACAGG
rnacentral:rRNA from 1 species